UGAGGAAUAUUGGACAAUGGGCGCAAGCCUGAUCCAGCCAUGCCGCGUGCAGGAAGAAGCAUCUAUGGUGUGUAAACUGCUUUUGUACGGGAAGAAACACUCCUUCGUGAAGGAGCUUGACGGUACCGUAAGAAUAAGGAUCGGCUAACUCCGUGCCAGCAGCCGCGGUAAUACGGAGGAUCCAAGCGUUAUCCGGAAUCAUUGGGUUUAAAGGGUCCGUAGGCGGUUUAGUAAGUCAGGGGUGAAAGCCCAUCGCUCAACGAUGGAACGGCCAUUGAUACUGCUAGACUUGAAUUAUUAGGAAGUAACUAGAAUAUGUAGUGUAGCGGUGAAAUGCUUAGAUAUGACAUGGAAUACCAAUGGCGAAGGCAGGUUACUACUAAUGGAUUGACGCUGAUGGACUAAAGCGGGGGUAGAGAACA
rnacentral:rRNA from 1 species